GACGAACGCUGGCGGCGUGCUUAACACAUGCAAGUCGAACGGAAAGGCCUCUUUCGGGGGGUACUCGAGUGGCGAACGGGUGAGUAACACGUGAGUAACCUGCCCUUGACUUUGGGAUAACUUCAGGAAACUGGGGCUAAUACCGGAUAGGAGCUCCUGCUGCAUGGGGGGGGUUGGAAAGUUUCGGCGGUUGGGGAUGGACUCGCGGCUUAUCAGCUUGUUGGUGGGGUAGUGGCUUACCAAGGCUUUGACGGGUAGCCGGCCUGAGAGGGUGACCCGGCACAUUGGGAAUGGGGUUCGGGCCAGACUCCUACGGGAGGCAGCAGUGGGGAAUAUUGCACAAUGGGUGGGAGCCUGAUGCAGCAACGCCGUGUGCGGGAUGACGGGCUUCGGGUUGUAAACCGCUUUCGCUCAUGACGAAGCUUUGUGUGACGGUAGUGGGUAAAGAAGCACCGGCUAACUACGUG
rnacentral:rRNA from 1 species